UAGUCAGUGUCAUGGCAUGUACCUGCAGUGCAACCUAUUUGGGAGGCUGAAGUGGGAGAAUUGCUUGAGCCCAAGAGAUUGAGGCUUCAGUAAGCUGAGAUCAUGCCAUGCACUCCAUUGUGGGUGACAGAGCAAGACCCUGUCUCAAAACAACCCUCAAAAUUUAGCAGCUUAAAACAACAAUCAUCUCCUACAAUUCCGAUAACUGAAUGAGCUCAGCUGAGCAGUUCUUCAUAUGAUAUAUGAUUUAAUUAAUCUGAGGGAUAAAUUAAAAGGUCCAAUAUGGCUAACUUGUAUGGCCGUUAGCUGGCACUAUCAGGUGGGAUCUCAGCUGGGGUGGUUAGUUGCAGCACCCUGAUUCUCCUCCAUGUGGCUUGAGCUUUUUUUUAGCUUGGUGGGAUUCUAAGCAUGACCAUCUCAAGAGUGUUCCCAGGGGGAAGGAAUUAGAAACUGCUAGUCCUCCUAAGUGCUGGGCUCAGAAGUCCCAGAACAGUUACUCCCUCACAUUCCAUUGGUCAGAGCAAUUGCAGGGCCAGUCCGGAUUCAAAGGGGGAAGAUAUAAGCAUGUAGAAUGGGGAUGUUGUAAACCAUCUUUAGAGACUAGUUACCACACCUGUCUGCACAGGUACUUCCCUGCUCUGAAAUGCUCCUUUCCUGGCAGACCUUCACUCAUACUGCAAGAUGCAGCUUAUAAUUUAGUACCCAUGUAGAGCUUUUCCCUGUCAUCUCCAGUUCAUAUAGUCAGUUAGACAAAACUAGAUGACGAAAUUGUUAGAGUGAGAGUGUCCAGGGAAGGUAACCAUGUUGUCACCAGCUCUUUAGUAACUGCAACAGUGAAAGUAUUUGCAAUUGAACUUGUAAGUGUCUGCUUCUGGUCAGUACUAAUUUCACCUAGAGUGCCAUACCGUCUGUACUAGAGUUUCAACAUGAGGCCUACAACACAGAAGAUAGUGAAAAUUCAGUGGGGAUAAUGGAAAAGGAGAAAAAAAAAUGUAUUUCAAAUACUCAGUUUAGGAAGAAAGGACCAUAUAUGAAACACUUAAUUAAAAAUUUCAGGAAAAUUGCUAUUUUAGUCUUGAAAGGUUGAAACUUACCUGGAAAAAUAAUUUUUCCAGCAUAGUGCAUUUUCUGAUUCUAGGAAUGCCAGAUAAAAUAUUAUGCCAUAUAAUUAACAAGAAAAAUGGAAGUUACCUGAGGUGUUUAAGUAAGGAGAGAUUUAAUACACAAAAUUCGAUGAUGAAGUUGUUAGAAGGGCUGGGGGAUCAAAAAGAGGUGGUGUUGCUCAGAAAUGAGGAAGUGUAGGAAGCUACUUCUUCCUCUGGAGCCAGCAGUCAUCUGCAGAAUUUGACUCAUACAACAACCCAUACUACACAUGACUUUAACAGAGUUGUGCUCCUCUGUGCCCCAUGCAGCCAGUGCUGCCACUAUAAGUAUCCAAUGUCUAGCUGCUACCCAGGUUCUACAGGAGCCUACUCUUAUGACAGUUGGGUAUCAUACUCUGCUGGUACCACCACUACCUGAGCCAGAAGAUUGUUUCCAUGUUGUUUAGCUUUUCAAUCUCUUGCAAACGCCUACAGUUGACAGAACCCUAACAGGAUCCCUUUGAGGUGGUGAAAAUGGCUGAAUAGAAGCCUUCACCAGUCAUCCUCCCCACAGGAACACCAAAUUGAACAACUAUCCACACAAAAAAAGCACCUUCAUAAGAACCAAAAAUCAGGUCAGUGGUCACAAUACCUGGCUUUACCUUUUUAUUACUGAAAGGAACUUAAGAGGGUAGGAAAGACAAAGGGUUCCCUUCUGGCCCAUGGUAUGUCUAGAAAUGUCAUCUGGGAGCUAGGGCCUGGAAUGGUAGUCUCAGGACUCCUGGUGUCCUAUCCUGCUGUGGCUGACUAGACAAAGCCCUCUUUAUUCUUAAGCAGAAGGAAGGAGUCUCCCAGAGCUGUGCUGCCUUGGGUUAGGGCAGGCGUGGUGCAAGUAUUCUUUUGGCUACUCAACUGGCGUCUUACUGGAUUGCAUGCCCCUGAAGUUCACUGGCUCCAGGCCCAGUACAGCCUGAGAACUUGCCCAAGAAUUGCAGCCCUUGUGGCCUGGACUGAAUUGCCAACCCCUCCCCUAUCCCGUGUCAGCAUCAAGUGACGUAGAGAGAGAAUCUGUGAGCUAAGGAGGGGAGAGCACAGUGAUUAUGGGACUUUGCAUUGGAAUUGCACAGUCAGAUCACAGGAGAAAGUAACGCCAGGCAGAAUUCAGCCAGUGCCCACAGAGGGAGCAUUUAGAUGAAACCUAGUCUAAGGAGAAUUGCCCAUCCAAGUGGUUGGAACCUGUGUUCUGGCAAGCCUUACCACUGCAAGCUACAGGGCUCUGGGGUUUUAAAAAAACUUGAAAGUCAGUUUAGGCCACAAGGGCUGCAGUUGCUGGGCAAGUCCUCAUGCUGUACUGGACUUGGAGCCUGUAGACUUGGGGGUAUGCAACCCAGUGAGACACCAGCUGGGCAGCAAAGGAAAUGCUUGCACCAUCUCUCCCCCAACCCAAGGCAUUGCAGCUCUAGGAAAGGCUCCUUUCUUCCACUUGAAAGGAGAGAAAAGAAUAAUGAGGACUUGGUCUUGCAACUUGGAUACCACCUCAGCCACAGAAUAGGACACACAGCAUAUUCCUGAGGUCCCCAUUUUAAGCCCUAACUCCCAGGUGACAUUUCUAGACACACCAUGGACCAGAAAGGAACCCUCUGCUUCGAAGGGAGGGGCCCAGUCGUGGCAGAAUUCAUCACCUGCUAAGAAGCCUUUGGGCUGUGAAAAAUAAGCAGUGGUACCCAGGCAAUAUUCACCAUAGGCCUCGAAUGAGACUCGGGGACAUGCUGACCUUAGAUGUGAGCCAGCACAUUCUCUGCUGUGGUAGCUACAGGGAAGAAUUCCUGCUUGCGAAAAGGAGGUGGGAGAAUAAAGAGGACUUGGCCUUUCAGCUUUAGAUACCAGCUUGGCCAGAGUUGGGUAGAGCACCAAGCAGGCUCUUGGGAUCCCCGAUUCCAGGCCGUGGCUUGUGGAUGGCAUUUCUGGACCUGCCCUGGAUCAGAGAGGAGUCCACUGCCCUGAAGAGAGGGUCCCAGGCCUGGUAGCAUUCACCCCAAGUUGACUGAAGAGCUUUCGGCUUUGAAUGAACAUUGGAGGUAGCCAGGUGGUAUUUACUGUGGGCUUGGGUCAGUAGUGGCCAUGGAAAGAGACUCCUCUGGUUGUAGAAAGAGGAGGGAAGAGUGAGAAGGACUUUGGAUGCCAGUUCAGCCACAGUAGCAUAGAACACCAGGUAGAUUCCUAAUGUUUAAAAAUCCAGGCCUUGGUUCUCAGGUGGCAUCUCUGGACCUGCCCAGGACUUGGGGUGGGAUGGUGGGGAGAGAACUUGUUGCCCUGAAGGGAAGGAUGCAAGCCUGACUUUGCCAUUUGCUGACUGUAAGGCCCUAGGACCUUGAGCAAACAGGUGGUAGCUAGGCAAUAUGGCUGCAGUGACUAAAGACUUAGAUCACAACACCCAAGUUUCUUCAAAUACCUGGAAAGCCUUCUCAAGAAGAAAGUCAGAAACUAGGGUCUGAAAUCAGGGUACAAACAAGUUAAAACUGUGAAGACUACAAUAAACUCUCGAAUGCCCAAACACUGACAAAUAACCACAAGCAUCAAGACGCUCCAAGAAAACAUGCCCUCAUCAGACAAACUAAAUAAAGCAGCAGUGACCAGUCACAGAGAGACAGAGAUACUGUGAUCUUUCAGACAGUUCAAAAUAGCUAUUUUGAGGAAACUCAACAAAAUUUAAAAUAACACAGAGAAACAAUUCAUAAUUCUAUCAGAUAAAGAGGUUGAAAUAAAAAGCAAGCAGAAAUUCUGGAGUUGAAAAAUGUGAUUGACAUAUUGAAGAGUGUAUCAGAGUCUUAACAGAAGAAUUUAUCAAGCAAAAGAAUUAGCAAGCUUGAAGACAAGCUAUGCCGAGAGGAGACAAAAUGAAACAAUAAGAAAAAGUGAACCACACCUGAAACAUCUAGGUUAGCCCUCAAAAGGACAAAUUUAAGAAUUAUUAGCUUUGACUACCUCAAGACAUUUAAAAAUGAAACUCUCAAUGGUCAGAGAUAAAGUGAGAAUCCUAAAAGCAGCAAGAGAAAAGAAAUAUUAAUAAUAUAGAGUGCAGCUCCAAUAUGUCUCCAGCAGGCUUUUUAGUGUAAACCUAACAGUCCAGGAGAGAGUGAUAUGACAUAUUUAAAGUGCUGAAGGAAAAAAAAAAAAACUUUUAGCUGUGCUGGAAACUAGGGACACACAGAUGCAAAUUACACACCUCAAUUCAGUAAAUAUUUGUUUAUUAUCUGUCCACUAGGUACGGGGUCUACCAAGGUGAAUUAAGGCCAGAUUUCUUUCUGUGAGGUCCUCAUAAUCCAGAAAGAAAGAAUGACAAGCAAAUGAUUAUAAGAUUAUGAUAAGUGCAUUGAUAAAUCAAAAGUAUAACCACAAGAAAAAAAUUGAAUGGUAAAUUUUUAAAAAUUUAGGUGACAAGAAACUUGGAGGUUACUUAAAAUUACCCAAGAAGAGACUUCUUGUUUCAACAUGGCUGAAUAGGAAAAGCUUCAGUCCACAGCCCCCAGCGAGAUGAACGCAGAAGUGGGUGAUUUCUGCCUUUCCAACUGAGGUACCUGGUUCAUCUCACUGGGACUGAUUGUACAGCGGGUAACCCACAGAGGGCGAACCGAAGCAGGGUGGGGUGUCGCCUUACCCAGGAAGCUCAAGGGGUCAGGGGAUUUCUCUCCCAUAGCCAAGGGAAGCUGUGAGAGACUGUACCAGGAAGAAUGGUGCAUUCCAGCCCAGAUACUGCACUUUUCCCACGGUCUUCGCAACCGGCAGACCGGGAGAUUCCUUCAGCAUUUGCUACACUGUUCUGAAUUAUUGACAUAUUUUUCUCUCAUUUAAUUCAAUCUUGAGGACAGGAGCUAUGUCUUGAUGAUCUUUGAGCCUUCUGCUCCUAUCACAGUACCCAAUGUAUCAUAGAUGUUGUAAAUAGUAGUUGAAAGAAUCAACAUAAAAUGGUAGAUAAAGGGGCUGAAACAUUUUUUCAUUAAUAAUCUUCAGGAAACACAUUUAGGAAUUGUAGCAAAUGUUAGCUGCCUACCCAACAGCCAUUCUCCUUUCUCUUUUGUUAUCAAAACCCAGGUUUUGUUGCAGCAAUGGACCCUAUGGCAUGAUUCUUAAUAGACCUAAGUCAGUCAUGGCAUCCCCCUUCUUUUCCAGUGAUCCAUGUGGGUUUGGCAUGAUGAGUCAUAGAGGGACGAUGUUGAGGCUUCAGGGAGAGAUCUUCCCUGAUAGGGAGUCACCUUCUCCCUUUUACUCCCUGCUAUGUUUACUGUUUUAGAAGGUAUAUGAAGCAUGGAACUGGAGGAGCUGUCCUGUGUCAGCCUGGAAUAAUCAAAAAGAUCAAAAAUCCUGUUUUAGGCAACAUAGCAAGACCCCAUCUCUACAAAAAAUUUAAAAACUUAGCCAGGUAUGGUAGCACAUUCCCGUACUCCUACCUACUUGGGAGGUUGAGGUGGGAGGAUCACUUGAUCCCAGGAAGCUGAGGCUACGGUGAGUUGUGAUCACACUACUGCACUCUCACCUGGGCAACAGAGUGAGGCCCUAUCCACCCAAAAAAUAAAUAAAAAUUUAAAAAUCCAGUUUUUUUUAAGAGUUUAUUCACCAACCUGGACAACAUAGCAAGACUCUGUCUCUACCAAAAAAAAACACUGUUUUUAAUUAACCAGGUCUGGUGGUAUGUACCUCUAGUCCCAGCUACUGGGGAGGCUGAGGUGGGAAGAUCGCUUGAGCCCAGGAGGUCAAGGCUGCAAUGAAUCAUGAUUGCACCACUGCACACUAGCCUGGGUGACAGAGUAAGACUGUCUUAGAACAACAACAACAACAAAAACAAACAACAACAAAAAAACACCAAGAGUUUAUUCAAGGAAAAAGCUGGGAAUGGCCAUCUGGGAAACAGACUCUAAAGAAUAGGGUCAGUGUUAUGAAGUUUAAAGUUAAGGUCUUGCUUAUAAAUGCAGAAAACGAAAUUUAGUCGGAUUAUAACAUGUUCACUGCUAAGCUGGUUUAUGAAUUAUAACAGUUUGAUUAGUUACAUUUUGUUUUCCUUACAACUUAUUUUACUUCUUAACAGCUUGUCAGCUCCUUUCCAAUUUAGACAUUGUGAGAGUGAUGAAGCCUAUUUUAUAUAUUUAUUGUGGUUUUAUUCAUAAUUGUGAGAAACUGGAAACAACACAAAUGUCCAACAGGAAAUGGGUAAGCACAGGAAAGAAGCAGAAAAGCCCAGGAAAAGAAAGGGGCAGGACAAAGGCACUGGGGAGCUUGAGUGUUGUGUAUCUUGAGUGUUGUGACAGUUCUAUAUUUCUGUGUAUUUCUCAAAACUAGAAUUGUACACCUAAAGAGCAAACUUCUCUGUUUAUAAAUUAUAACAUUUUUAACAAAGUUAAAAAAACUUAAUGUUUUCUUAAGUAUGAGGAAAUAAACUACUAAUACAAACAAUAUAAAACAAAAUCAAUUCAGAUCAGCCAUCAAACAUUAAACAUGGAGAAAUAAUCCAGUUUAUCUACUAUUGAAAACUGAAUGAAAGCAAUAUAAGUUGCUCUGUCAUUCCACUGUAUUAUUAUUUAAGGCCUUCUCAGAAACCAUAAAAGAUAGCAGCUUUGAUUUAUAAACUAGCAAUACUCUUACCAGCUAUCAAAGUAAUCAAGAGUCCUGUGAUACUGGGAUAUUUUCUUAAUACAGAAUAUAGAAUGUGAAUGUGCUUAGAGAAAGAUAAGAAGUGAGACAAUUGGGUUCUUGUAUUAGUUACAGGGAAAUACUCUGGCUCCAGUUCUUUAAAAUUACACCAAGAGCUGCCAAGAUUGAGUAGAAGAGAUGAAAACCAAUCUGGAGUAAAAGAAAGAUUGUCACAUGCUAGUGUGACAUAAGCAUGAUUCUAAAAAUAAUACAUACAAAAUUCAUUUAGCUUAUUAGAAUUAUCUUGUAGGCCACUGAUAAUUUUUCAUCAUCAUACUGUAAACAGUAGACACCUUUACUAUUUUCAGAGUGUCACUGAAUCCUCUGCAAGGUGUGUCAUCCACACUGCCAGUUAGAUUCUACAGUUGCUAUAACCUGGAUAAUCUUUGAGUAUAAUGACCUAUAAAAUGAAUUGGGAGGGCCAUCUGUGGGUCUGCUUUUAAACAGGUACUGUCCUACCCUCUUCUUUCUGAAAGUCCCUUCCAUAGAGGAUCAGUGUGUACCAUUCGUUCAAUCAGCUUCUUCCAAAGCAUUCAUUCUGAGAUCACUUGCCACUAUUCUUUACAUAUCAGCACUGCUACACACAGAGACCUGGCAUCCAGGUAUGAAAGAAUGUUUUCUGCUAUGUGAUGUAAGCCUUGCUCUGGUAAAGUGGUAAAGUCCUGCUGCAACAUGGGCUUCAGGUACAAGUUAAUAUGUCCAUGCUGAUAGUGACAAAUUUGUGAAAUAAGAUGUUCCAAAUAGCCUUAGUUGGUUGGGUCUUUAAUCUGGAAUCUAUUAAUACACUCAGAGUUUUAAAAAAAUUGGUAGAACAGCCAGUUGUCUUAAAUUGAUACAUUGCCUCCAGGCUAAAUUUUAGUUAUCCUUUGUCAUUCCAAACAUUUCUCAAAUUUCUCUUUAACUGUCUGAGGUUGAGAAGUAGUUGCCUCUUUCAAUUCUACAAGUAGAUCCUCAAACUGGUGAACUCUUUAUUCCCUUCAUUACUUACAAAAUGGUCAGUUAUUUCUCUCAGCUCAUCUCUUUCUUGUCAUAGCUUGCCAAAUGCAGCCAAUAGCAAAUAACACACAACAUUCUGUUUUCCAGCCUUCCCCCUAAGCUACAAAUGUAUUAAGUAUAUGACCUGUCUUCCAAGUUACUGUAGAUAACAAUUUUACUAAAAGUUUCAUUACUACAUAGCAUGGAUUGCUGUCUGAAACUCUGAAAAGAAUUUUCUUGCUACCUGCUGUCUCUCUUAAAUAUUUUAUGUUCUUGUUACGGCAACCCACUUUGGAUAACUAUGUCUACCUUAAGUGACGAUGACCUAGAUUUUGCGGUAGUAACAACCCUAAAUUCUCAGUAGUUCGAAACAAUAAAGAUUUGUUUGUUCCCUAUUG